rnacentral:rRNA from 1 species
CCUACGGGAGGCAGCAGUGAGGAAUAUUGGUCAAUGGGCGCGAGCCUGAACCAGCCAAGUCGCGUGAGGGAAGACGGUCCUAUGGAUUGUAAACCUCUUUAGUCGGGGAGCAAAAGACGCAACGCGUGGCGUUCCGAGAGUACCCGAAGAAAAAGCAUCGGCUAACCCCGUGCCAGCAGCCGCGGUAAUACGGAGGAUGCGAGGGUUAUCCGGAUUGAUUGGGUUUAAAGGGUGAGCAGGCGGAAGAGCAAGUCAGCGGUAAAAUUGAGAGGCUCAACCUCUGCGAGUCGUUGAAACUGGUUUUCUUGAGUGAGUGAGAAGUAUGCGGAAUGCGUGGUGUAGCGGUGAAAUGCGUAGAUAUCACGCAGAACUCCGAUUGCGAAGGCAGCAUACCGGCGCUCAACUGACGCUCAGGCACGAAAGUGUGGGUAUCGAACAGGAUUAGAUACCCGAGUAGUC